rnacentral:lncRNA from 1 species
AUCAACUAGCCCCUGGUUAUACUCAAACCCGUGACCACUUCACGACCGUCAACUAGGACCUCCACUUAGUCUUCGACUCGAGACCAUAUCAAGCACUAUCAUCUCAAAACUUGACUUUCAUAAGAUGAGUUUCUAAGGUAAUGGUAUUAUCUCGACAUGACAUAUGAAGUGUAUGUGUUCUAAGGCACGUUACCGUAUCCCCGACCCCUCAAAUCUACCUAUAAUUUUUACAAUUUAAACCCUAAAAACCCAACCCUAACAAAAAUAAAAAACCCUAA